rnacentral:rRNA from 1 species
CAGCAGGCGCGCAAAUUACCCACUCCCGGCACGGGGAGGUAGUGACGAAAAAUAACAAUACGGGACUCUUUUGAGACCCCGUAAUUGGAAUGAGUACACUCUAAAUCCUUUAACGAGGAUCUAUUGGAGGGCAAGUCUGGUGCCAGCAGCCGCGGUAAUUCCAGCUCCAAUAGCGUAUAUUAAAGUUGUUGCGGUUAAAAAGCUCGUAGUUGGAUCUCAGUUCCAGACGGGCGGUCCGCCUAACGGUGGUUACUGCCUGGCCUGAACAGCCAGCCGGUUUCCCUAGAUGAUCUUCACCGGUUGUCUUGGGUGACCGGCACGUUUACUUUGAAAAAAUUAGAGUGCUCAAAGCAGGCGUGUAGCCUGAAUAAUGGUGCAUGGAAUAAUGGAAUAGGACUUCGUUUCUAUUUUGUUGGUUUUCGGAACACGAGGUAAUGAUUAAGAGGGACAGACGGGGGCAUUCGUAUUGCGACGCUAGAGGUGAAAUUCUUGGACCGUCGCAAGACGAACUACUGCGAAA